rnacentral:rRNA from 1 species
UACGGGGGGGAGCAAGCGUUGUUCGGAUUUACUGGGCGUAAAGGGCGCGCAGGCGGCUCAUUUUGUCAGGCGUGAAAGCCCCGGGCUUAACCUGGGAACUGCGUUUGAUACGGAUGGGCUAGAGUUCGGGAGAGGAGAGUGGAAUUCCCAGUGUAGAGGUGAAAUUCGUAGAUAUUGGGAAGAACACCGGUGGCGAAGGCGGGGUCUCUGGGCAGUAACUGACGCUGAGGAGCGAAAGCGUGGGGAGCGAACAGG